CACCAGGCUCUUCCUGGCAACCUUUUACCGGUUUCCUAAGAAAGACCUAUAGAAACAGGGACAGUCAUACAUAAGGAUAGCUGAACUCUAGACCUCUACUGUUUGGUAAACCUGCCGUAGAGAGUUGACUGCCUCUAACACUGGACUGAGGAGUAUCUGGGGCCAAAGGAAUUAUGUUUCCUGAUGGGACAAAUGAGGAAGGAAGAC